CCAAAGGCCCAAGCCUUCUAUUAAGCUACCGGAUCCCGAAAUCAACAGUCCAUAUCCGCUCCAAGAAUCUCCGGUCCCGAACCAAAGUGUGAAGGUACUGGAACUUCUUCGAUUCUUCCGUUCUUCUAUUUCUAUCCUUGAUAAUGGAGGUCCCGAUUUUUUUGCGACGUAGUUGUGGAGUGAGUUUUGGUUAUGAAGAUUGAAUGUUGUGGAUGAAGGUUCUAUUGGAGAUGAAGGUUGGUGGCUGCGGAAAUUUAUACAGGUUAAAGAAUUGUGGUUGUGAAGAGAGUUGAAGAAAGAGAUCGAAGAGACUCCUUUUGCAGGUUUUUUGUGUGACUGUUACAGGGUGAUGGUGAGAGAACCGAAACUCAGUAGUGAUUCCAUUGAAGAGUUGGUUGAAGGUUGCAGGGAGAGUUUGGAUUGUGUAUUGCAUAUUUAAGCUUGCAGGUUUGUUAUCGGUUAGCAGUUGAUGGUUUGGAAAUUCUGUUGUGGAUCCUUUUCUAAGGGCUUUUUGUUCUGUCAUAUCAGUUGGUAAAAUUGGUUGUUAGAAAUUCUGUUAGGCUUUUGGUUCAGCUUUUGAAUUCGGUUAUGACAGUUAGGAUAGUUGAUGAGGUGGUUAGAUGGUUAGAAAAACAGUUAGGAAAUCAGUUGGUUCAUUCUGUUUGACAACUAUGAUUCAGUUGAGGGAGUUUGAAUGAGGGAGAGGAGUUGUUAUAGGUUGUAUCUUUGACAACUAUGAUUUUUUUUGUGUUUCAUUUGCACAGGUUAUUCGUAAGAAGUUAAUACAUCAGCCCUAUUACCAGCCUUUUUGUUCAUUAAAAGUUGAUCUUGUAACCUCAAAUAUUUACUUAAGCAUGACAAGCCAGAUCCAUAUUUCCAUAAGAUGUGAGACAUCUUCAUCCUCAAAGAUGCCACUCCUUUCGGCAGCAGGGUUGAAAAUGCCAGGCUUUUCCUUUACAUGGGACUCAAAGUACAUCAACGACCUUGCAUAAGCCUGUCAAGGAAACUGGACUUUGAUCCUUUGACUUUUGUCGUAAAUAUGAAUAUGAGGUUGAAUGUAGUAUGGUUUAUGGUUAAGUUUAUGAAAUGUGAAUAUGAAUAUUCAUGUAUGUAUGGAAAUUGAAUGUUAGAGAUUGGGUAAAAAUGUUUGUGUUACAAUUUCGAAUUGAAUGGUUUAAUGGCUUA